UACGUAGGGGUGCAAGCGUUAUCCGGAAUUAUUGGGCGUAAAAGCGAUCACAGGUGGACAAGCAGGUCUGGUGUUAAAUAACCCACCGGCUACAACCGGGGAUGCUGCCAUCGGAAACCGCUUGACUAGAGGGAAGACAAAGGCAGGUGGAAAUUUCCAUGUAGGGGUUAAAUCCGUAGAUAAUGGAAGGAACACCAAAAGCGAAGGCAGCCUGCUGGGUCUUUCCUGACACUGCUUGAUCGAAAGCGUGGGGAGCGAAAGGGGAUUAAGAAACCCAGGAUACGUCC
rnacentral:rRNA from 1 species